GGCUGGGUAGCUCAGUGGAUUGAGAGCCAAGCCUAGAGGUGGGAGGUCCUUGGUUCGAAUCCGGCCUCAGCCA
rnacentral:tRNA from 1 species